rnacentral:tRNA from 1 species
GAUCCAGUGGAGACGCAGUGGGGCCUGUAGCUCAGAGGAUUAGAGCACGUGGCUACGAACCACGGUGUCGGGGGUUCGAAUCCCUCCUCGCCCGA